rnacentral:rRNA from 1 species
UACGAAGGGGGCUAGCGUUGUUCGGAAUUACUGGGCGUAAAGCGCACGUAGGCGGAUAUUUAAGUCAGGGGUGAAAUCCCGCAGCUCAACUGCGGAACUGCCUUUGAUACUGGGUAUCUUGAGUAUGGAAGAGGUAAGUGGAAUUCCGAGUGUAGAGGUGAAAUUCGUAGAUAUUCGGAGGAACACCAGUGGCGAAGGCGGCUUACUGGCCCGGUACUGACGCUGAGGCACGAAAGCGUGGGGAGCAAACAGG